UCUCCGUAGGUGAACCUGCGGAGGGAUCAUUACCGAGUGAGGGCCCCCGGCCCGACCUCCAACCCUUUGUUAUCAAAACCACUGUUGCCUCGGGGGCGACCCGGCGCUUCGGCGCCAGGGGGUCCCCGCUGGUCCACACAACUCUGCAUCUUUGCGUCUGAGUAAACAUUAAAUGAAACAAAACUUUCAACAACGGAUCUCUUGGUUCUGGCAUCGAUGAAGAACGCAGC
rnacentral:misc_RNA from 1 species